rnacentral:rRNA from 1 species
GACGAACGCUGGCGGCGUGCCUAAUACAUGCAAGUCGAACGCAGUGGGGACGGGUGAGUAACACGUGGGUAACCUCCCAUCAGAGGGGAUAACACUUGGAAACAGGUGCUAAACCGAUACUGAUGGAUGAACCCGCGGUGCAUUAGCUAGUUGGUGGGGUAACGGCUCAACAAGGCCACGAUGCAUAGCCGACCGGCGAGGGUGAUCGGCCAAACGGGAACUGAGCAACGGCCCAGACCCCUACGGGAGGCAGCAGAAGGGAAUCUUCGGCAAUGGACGAAAGUCUGACCGAGCAACGCCGCGUGAGUGAAGAAGGUUUUCGGAUCGUAAAACUCUGUGGUUAGAGAAGCGGUAUCUAACCAGAAAGCCACGGCUAACUACGUGCCAGCCGCCGCGGUAAUUC